rnacentral:rRNA from 1 species
GGCGAGUGAGUGGGAAAAGCUCAACUUUAAAAUCUGGCAGCUUCGCUGUCCGAGUUGUAGUCUCGAGAAGUGUUUUCCGCGCUGGAUCGUGUAUGAGUCUGUUGGAAUACAGCGUCAUAGAGGGUGAGAACCCCGUUCAUGACACGACUACCAGUGCUUUGUGAUACACUUUCGAUGAGUCGAGUUGUUUGGGAAUGCAGCUCAAAAUGGGUGGUAAAUUCCAUCUAAAGCUAAAUAUUGGCGAGAGACCGAUAGCAAACAAGUACCGUGAGGGAAAGAUGAAAAGCACUUUGGAAAGAGAGUUAACAGUACGUGAAAUUGUCGAAAGGGAAACGCUUGAAGUCAGACGUGCGCGGUGCGAUUCAGCCUUGGUUCGCCAGGGUGUACUUCGUACCAUUGCAGGCCAGCAUCGGUUUUGUGAGCCGGAUAAAGGUUAGAGGAAGGUAGCGGUCCAGGCCGUGUUAUAGCCUCUAACUGAAUACGGAUUGUGAGACCGAGGGACGCAGCGCGCCGCAAGGCAAAGGGUCCGCCCUUUUCGCGCUUAGGAUGCUGGUGAAAUGGCUUUAAACGACCCGUCUUGAA